CAGUCGCCGCGGUAAUACGGAGGGUGCAAGCGUUAAUCGGAAUUACUGGGCGUAAAGCGCACGCAGGCGGUCUGACAAGUCAGAUGUGAAAUCCCCGGGCUUGACCUGGGAACUGCAUUUGAAACUGUCAGGCUGGAGUCUUGUAGAGGGGGGUGGAAUUCCAGGUGUAGCGGUGAAAUGCGUAGAGAUCUGGAGGAAUACCGGUGGCGAAGGCGGCCCCCUGGACAAAGACUGACGCUCAGGUGCGAAAGCGUGGGGAGCAAACAGGAUUAGAUACCCCUGUAGUCCCUGUCUCUUAUAA
rnacentral:rRNA from 1 species